UGUGUUGUCAGGAAAGACCAUUUUGCCGGCAUUUUGGCUUUCUCUCCUUCCGACGCCUUCGACCCCGUCUCCAUUCACAACUUUUGAAAUCCGGCUUUCGUAAGAGAUGGCUUCCCAGGAGUCGAGAGCGAUGACUCCCUCUAAUAGUGAACAGGGGUGGUGAGUGUCGAUGGACAUGGAGGCUGAACAUGUUUGAUGAUAAGCCAGAGGGCCGUAUCAAGCAGGCUGCGAGGGAGGGAGGGGAAACACCUGAGAUCAAAAUCAAAACACUAAUGAUCUCUAAAGGCAGGAAGCAAAACUGCCCCACUAAAAAUAAAAACAGCCCAAAGGACUGAGCAUUCUCAAGAGCCACAAAAUGUUGCCACUUGGAAAAGGAAAGUGGAAAAAUGGGAGGGUGUAGGAAUGGAACAUUCUGGGAAAGGGGCAUGGCUAGCUGGCUGGCAGAAACCCUGAGCAGGAAUACUCCCAUAAAGUGUUAUGCAAUAUAUCAGAGCAUUUCAUGUAGGUUUCAUUUGUGACAUACCCAGAAUACUGCAGUCGUUGGCAGUGUCCGGGCAGAAAUCAGCAAAAAUGGCUGGGAAGAUUCGGACGUCGGACGUAUGGCAACCCAACUUUGCCCAAAAAAGCUCAACAACUUUUGUGUUCAGAUUUUCACUUUUUGAAAUACCUUGGAAGUCAAACGGAAUCCAUUCCGGGUCAUGUGGCCAGCAUAACUAAGUCACUUCUGGCAAAGCAGAGCAGUGCACGGAAAUGCCAUUUACCUUCCCACCAGAGCGGUACCUAUUUAUCUACUUGCACUUUGACGUGCUUUCGAACUGCUAAGUUGACAGGAGCAGGGACCGAGCAACGGGAGCUAACCCCGUCGCGGGGAUUUGAACCGCCAACCUUCUGAUUGGCAAGCCCAAGAGGCUCAGUGGUUUAACCCACAGCGCCACCUGUGUCCCGCAAAAUAUAAAUUUUGUUAAAGAAAACAAAUAUGGUUUUCCAGACCUCUCCUUAAAGGGAGGCUCAAAAGAUGGUGACAAAAGAGAGGGCCUUUUCAGUUGCGGCUCCCCAUCUACUAGAGACUGCCACCUGUGCUUGCAUUCCUCGCCAACCCCAUCUGACCCCCACCAAACUCAACACCCCUCCCUUCACAUCUCACCCAAGCUCUCUUCCCCUCACAGUCCCUUAAAGCCCCCACAACUUAUUCAAGCCCCGCCCCCAUGUCCUCACAGUUCAUCUGUGUCCCUCCAUCCCUGAUCUAUUCGAAACUGUUGUUUAAAACUGCCAUUUUAAAACCUGCCUUCCCACUUGCUCCCCCGCCCAACUUCACGCAAAUCCCAGAUCGUGAUGCAGCACUACAAAUCCUCCAGUGGGGGGCUACGUGAUGACAGCCUUACAGUUUUUUAUAUAUAGGAAGAUAUGUAAGAUUGGAGGUGUUGUAGGAAAAUGUUGAUGCUUUAUGUGCAUUUUUCUAUGGGAUGAUGUAUUUAUGAUUAUUGUUUUUAAACAUUACGUUGCUUGGAAGCCUGUCAGGUAAACAAAGGACUAAUAAAUUUAAUAAAUAAUUUUAUUAAAAAUGUAAAGGGGUGAGAUGAGCGUACUGCCUCUCCUCGAAUGACCUUAGGCUACAAAGAACACUGCACUGUUAUUAUUAUUUUUAUUUUUAUCCCAGCUGAUUUUGCCCCACUUGGUACCAAGCUGAUUCCAUCUCGUGCAUCAGAUAAUUCUCUCUAAGGGAGCCCUUUGUCCACCGAGUCAGCAGCUGCCUCAAAUGGAGCGGGAACAAUCUAGGCAUUCUGCCCCAGCCAUCUUAAAAGGACACUCACUUCCUUUGAGUGCAAAACAAACCAGUGGGUGUGUCCAGCAGUUAUUUUCUUUUCGGUCCAAAGUUAUUGGGUUGUAGUCAAUGCUAGUCCUACUCAGAGUAGACCCGCUGAAAUCAAGGGGCUUAACCUAGUCAUGCUCAUGACUUUCAGUGGGUCUACUCUGCAUAGCCACAAAGGCUACGCUGUUCCUCCAUGGUUAGAGGCAGUGAUGCUUAUGCUGGGAAUUACAGGUAGGCAGUGUGCUCUUGUGCCAAGAAUUGUAAGUUGGAAGGAGUUCAGAGGGUCAUCUAAUCCAAGACACUGCAAUGCAGGAGUCUAUGGUUCUCUGUUCCUAUUUUGGCAAAGUAAUAAUCAUAAAUAGGUAAAGGUAAAGGGACCCUUGACCAUUAGGUCCAGUUGUGACCGACUCUGGGGUUGCGGCGCUCAUCUCACUUUACUGACCGAGGCAGCCGGCGCACAGCUUCCGGGUCAUGUGGCCAGCAUGACUAAGCCGCUUCUGGCGAACCAGAGCAGCACACGGAAACGCCGUUUACCUUCCCGCCAGAGCGGUACCUAUUUAUCUACUUGCACUUUGACGUGCUUUUGAACUGCUAGGUUGGCAGGAGCAGGGACCGAGCAACGGGAGCUCACCCCGUCACGGGGAUUCAAACCGCCGACCUUCUGAUCGGCAAGUCCUAGGCUCUGUGGUUUAACCCACAGCGCCACUCACGUCCCAACUUAUUCAGUCUAGCCCUUUCAAAAAGGUCUUCUCCUGAAAUUGUUAUUAGUCCUGGUUUGAGGGUCAUGGCGCCUACAUGUGACUUGGAAAGUGUUCUGAGUGCCUGAUAGAAUCAUAUAGUUGGAAGGGAUUAUUAGGGUCAUUUAGCCAAACCGGUUCCAAUGCAGGAAUCUUUCACCCAACAUGGGGCUUGAACCCAUGAGCCUGAGAUUAAGAGUCUCAUGCUUUACCGACUGAGCUAUCCCAGGCCUACCCUUGUUUUCAUAAACAGAAAACAGCACUACCCCACCACCAAGACCAUUCCAUUGUAACUACCCAACCUCCCAAAAUUUCAACACCUCUCGUGAUGGUUUGACCCCUUUCCAUUUUAACAGUACAAAUUCUACAAACAGCCUCCAUAUCUCCUCAAAAUCAUUUCUCCUGCAUAUUCCCCGUCUUACCUUAACGGUACACGUGAAUUUGUCAUUAAUAGCUAUAUCCCACACCUCUUUAUGCCAUUCUUCCAUUUUAUAUUCACCUUGCCCCUUCCACUUCCUAGCUAUAACAAUUUGUGCAGCUGUCAAUAAAUUUGUGAGCAAGUCCUUCAUAGCCUGCAAACCUUCCACCCCAUCAUAAAUUGAUAAUAAUGCUACCUCUGGACUUUUGGUCAGCUUUAACCCAGUGAUUUCUGUUAUCUCCUCAAACACCCUUUGCCAAAAUAAUUGUACACAUUUACACCCCGACCACAUGUAAACAUGUGACGCAGGUGGCACUGUGGGUUAAACCACUGAGCCUAGGACUUGCCGAUCGGAAGGUCAGCGGUUUGAAUCCCCGCGACAGGGUGAGCUCCCGUUGCUCAGUCCCUGCUCCUGCCAACCUAGCAGUUCAAAAGCACGUCAAAGUGCAAGUAGAUAAAUAGGUACCGCUCUGGCAGGAAGGCAAACCGCAUUUCUGUGCGCUGCUCUGGUUCGCCAGAAGCGGCUUAGUCAUGCUGGCCACAUGACCCGGAAGCUGUACGCCGGCUCCCUCGGCCCAUAAAGCGAGAUGAGCGCCUCAAGCCCAGAGUCGGUCACGACUGGACCUAAUGGUCAGGGGUCCCUUUACCUUUACCUUUUACACAUGUGAACAUAAUUCCCUGUUUCCUGGCAUCCCCCCUCCUUCCUGGUUAUGUUAUUAUUCUUAUUGUUGAAGAUAUCGUAUACACCCCAGCAUACUAAGGGGCUGUUUGUGGUUUUCAACCCUUUUUUGCUUAACCACCCCCCCCAAAAAAUAAAUCCUGUAAUCUGUUGCAGUAGAACCGCCACCCGCUCUCCCUGCCCCCACACAAAAUGAGAAAGAGAAGAGAGAGGGGAAACUAGUAAUUCAUUUAACAGUUGCCACAUUUCGAAUUACAAAACUUCCCAAAGGGAAGCGGAAAACCUCCAGUUUUAAACAGACCAGCUGAUGAUGAAAGCGCACAUAAUAUUUCAACAGAGCAGAUAUAUAAGCAUACAGCACAGGCGUUCUCUGCACAACAACAUCUACCAACCAGGAAAUUGGAUAAGGAAAUGAGACAGUAACCAGGGGCUCACAUCAACCGCUGGCUGCUGACUUCUCAGGCAGACAGGCCUUCUCACCUCCCAAAAUUAAUACUAGACUCUGGUGCUCAUCCCAAGAAGCAACUAAUGAGUUUUAGCCCUGUGCAAAUUAAAAACCCUCUCCCUUUUUGCAGAAUUCUGUUCUUCCACUAGAGGGGUGCACCGGACUGCAAUACAGGCAGCUAACACCUCCCCGUCCUUUGUCAAUCUUCCGUCUACUAAAUUAGCCAGACCUUUGUUUGAUUGUUUUCCAGACAGGGUUCUGUGGAAGGCUCCCCAGGAUGGUCUGUGAAGCAUUGUCAUUCUGGGUGAAAUACUUAUUACCACAUUUUUCUUCAGUUUCUUGGUUUGCAUGGGGCAGGGAGAAAAGAGGGAUCAGGUUCUGAACAAUAUCAUGACCACACAACAAGGGUCCCUUAACCAAAAGAAGAAGAAAAGGGAUUGAGAACCAAAACAACUGAAUUUUGUUUGCAGGAUGUUCGGAAUUAAUAACUUUGUGGAAGAGCAUUUUAGGGAAGAGAAACGUUUGUCCUGGAAUAUAUCCAUGAACGGUGGCAAUGAAUGUGACCUGCCUUGGAUGGGGGGGGGCAUGUGUAAAAACUUCAGAAGGUCACAAGGCUUGAAGGUGACAUACUGCACAAAGGCGAUAUUCACAUACCGUCCAACUUUUUCAAAUCUAAAAUCAGGAAGCGCAUAUUCUGGGAUGUACUCUCAGGCAGCUCACGUGACCCACACGACGAUCUCAGCCCAAAAAAGUGCUUGGGGGGGGCACAAUCUCACACGGCACCAGAAACCACACAUUUUGGGGUGGUUUUUUUCCGACAUGAGAGCGCACGAGAUCGGGGAACCCAAAAUGGCCACCGCGAUCUCGCACGAAAAAAAUGGGAUGCCCCCUUUUUCUGGGACACUCAUGGCUUCCCUUAAGGGGGUGCAGUUUUUAAGGGUGCUGAGAGUUGUUAGGGAGAAAGACCCCUUUGAGGAGGGACAGGGGGUGGGGUUAAGCCACUCUGGGAAUUGUAGCUCUGAGAGAGGAUUAAGGGUCUCUUAACAACUCUCAGCACCCUUAAUAAACACCCUGAAUCCAUUGGGUGGAGUCAUUCAAAGUGGACUGUUCAAAGUGGUAUCAUAGUGCUUUAUAUGGAUAGUGUUGAUGAGGUUAAAGAAAAUCUGUUGCUCCAUCCACUUUCUACCUCAGACUGUAGCCUUUGGGCCAAAAAUAUUCCCCAUCCCCAACACACAAGGAGGGGGCAUUGCAAUACAAUCUUGAAGGAACAUCAGAAGCCCAGAGUGGCAAGGGCAACCAAGUCAGGUGGGCAGGGUGCAAAUGAAUUAUUAUUAUUAUUAUUAUUAUUAUUAAGUUGCUUUAUCCUGAACCAAGCCAUUGUUCCAGCUAGCCAGGGCCCCCAUGAGCCCUUGAAAGAUUUUGGUGCCCCCCUGUAUAUCUAAUUCAAAAUAUAAACAGAGGAUUGGAGAAGAUCAGUCUACAUCCCAAUCCCAAAGAAGGGACGUGCCAAAGAAUGCUCCAACUACCGCACAAUUGCACUAAUUUCACACGCUAGCAAGGUUAUGCUUAAAAUUCUACAAGGAAGGCUUAAGCGGUAUGUGGACCGAGAACUCCCAGAAGUGCAAGCUGGAUUUCGAAGGGGCAGAGGAACCAGAGACCAAAUUGCAAACAUGCACUGGAUUAUGGAGAAAGCUAGAGAGUUCCAGAAAGACAUCUACUUCUGCUUCAUUGACUAUGCAAAAGCCUUUGACUGUGUCGACCACAGCAAACUAUGGCAAGUUCUUAAAGAAACGGGAGUGCCUGAUCACCUCAUCUGUCUCCUGAGAAAUCUCUGUGUGGGACAAGAAACUACAGUUAGAACUGGAUAUGGAACAACUGAUUGGUUCAAAAUUAGGAAAGGAGUACGGCAAGGCUGUAUAUUGUCUCCCUGCUUAUUUAACUGAUAUGCAGAAUUCAUCAUGCGAAAGGCUGGGCUGGAUGAAUCCCAAGCCGGAAAUAAGAUUGCCGGAAGAAAUAUCAACAACCUCAGAUAUGCAGAUGACACAACCUUGAUGGCAGAAAGUGAGGAGGAAUUAAAGAACCUUUUAAUGAGGGUGAAAGAGGAGAGCACAAAAUAUGGUCUGAAGCUCAACAUCAAAAAACGAAGAUCAUGGUCACUGGGCCAAUCACCUCCUGGCAAAUAGAAGGGGAAGAAAUGGAGGCAGUGAGAGAUUUUACUUUCUUGGGCUCCAUGAUCACUGCAGAUGGUGACAGCAGUCACGAAAUUAAAAGACGCCUGCUCCUUGGGAGAAAGGCGAUGGCAAACCUAGACAAUAUCUUAAAAAGCAGAGACAUCACCUUGCCAACAAAGGUCCGUAUAGUAAAAGCCAUGGUUUUCCCAGUAGUGUUGUCACUGGAAGGACAGAUCAUGAAGCUGAGGUUCCAAUACUUUGGCCACCUCAUGAGAAGAGAAGACUCCCUGGAAAAGACCCUGGAAAAGACCCUGAUGUUGGGAAAGAUGGAGGGCACAAGGAGAAGGGGACGACAGAGGACGAGGUGGCUGGACAGUGUUCUCAAAGCUACCAGCAUGAGUUUGACCAAACUGCAGGAGGCAGUGGAAGACAGGCGUGCCUGGCGUGCUCUGGUCCAUGGGGUCACGAAGAGUCGGACACGACUAAACGACUAAACAACAACAACAAAAAUAAAAUCCUGAAAUGAAGCAAAACCUACAGCAAGAUGGAAAAAAGUUUGUUUUUGUAUACUUCCACUUUAUUUAUAUUCAAAAAUAAAUUCUUCUUUUUCUAAUUGCAAAGUCUUUGAUCAGAUCCUCAAAAGCAGGCCUCCUCAAACUCAGCCUUCCAGAUGUUUUUGAGACUACAGUUCCCAUCAUCCCUGACCAUUGGUCCUGCUAGCUAAGUAUCAUGGGAGUUGUAGCCAAAAACAUCGGGAGGGCCCAGUUUGAGGAAGCCUGCUCAAAAGUAAUCUUGCAUAACACAUCUGCAUCUAUACUUAGUGGAGAGGAAGCAGCCAGCCAGCCUUGUUGCAUAGUUGUUCUGUUGGGAUUUUUAAUAUACUUCAACUGAGAAAAUGAAAGCUCAGCUGAGUGAUUUGUGACCAUUAAUGUUAAAAAUCCAGCAACAGGGAAUUUCUGCAGUGCCCUCCUUUCCCUGAUGCCCAAAGCACAUGCUUAUUUUGCUUAAUGGUUAAUCCAGCCUUGCAUCUAACCCUAUAUUAUCUACACAGAAUGGCAGCAGUUCCCCAGGGUUCCAGAAGUGGUCCUCUCCCAGGUGGGGACUGAACCUGGGCUCUUUUGUCUGCUUUGCCACUAAGCUUCAGUGGUACCUCUGGUUGCGAACGGGAUCCGUUCCGGAGGCCCGUUCGCAACAUGAAAACAGCACAACCUGAAGCGCCGUAUCUGCGCAGGUGCGCGGCGCGAUCUAGCACUUGUGCGCAUCCGUGAAACGUGAUUUAGUGCUUCUGCGCAUGCGCGAGCGGCGAAACCCGGAAGUAACCCUUUCCGGUACUUAACAUGAAGCAAACGUAACAUGAGGUGUGACUGUACUGCCCUUUCCCCGUAGCUCUUCUGACAGUGAUACAGUAGCUGGCCCAGUGCUGGAUUUACGUAUAAGCUAAACAAGCUAUAGCUUAGGGCCCCACUCUCUUGGGGCCCCCCCAAAAAAAUUAAAGGGGAAAAAACUGGAUGUACAUUUCCAAAAUAUAAGAUAAAAAACAAAUAAAAUUAAACCCACAUACAGCAACAGUGUUUUGUGUUGUGUAGGCUCCUAUGAUGUAAGUAAUGGGCCCCGCCUGCUAGCCUGCUCCCUAAAAUAUCACUGGUAAUUAUUUCACUAUUAAUAUACUUCUUCUUCAUUGUAUUUCACUAUUAAUAUACUUCUUCUUAAUUGUAUUUUAGUUCAACAAUUACUUUGAUAAAAUACAUAUUUUGUUAUGUACAAAUGGCUUUAGAUACCUGUUAGGUCCAUCAAUUACCAUAUACAGUGGUGCCCCGCAAGACGAAUGCCUCGCAAGACGGAAAAACCGCUAGACGAAAUGGUUUUCCGUUUUGAAGUUGCUUCGCAGGACGAAUUCCCCUAUGGGCUUGCUUCGCAAGACGAAAAUACCUUGCGAGUCCUGAGAUUUUUUUUUCGCUUUUCCCCCUUUAUCUAAUCUGCUAAGCCUUUAAUAGCCUUUUAGCAGCUAAUCCCUAAGCCUUUAAGCCUUUAAUAGCCGCUAAACAGCUGAUAGCGCUAAUAGCGCUAAUCCGUCAAUGGGCUUGCUUCGCAAGACGAAAAAACCGCUAGACGAAGACUCUUGCGGAACGGAUUAAUUUCGUCUUGCGAGGCACCACUGUAGCAUAUAUUCAACACAAAAAAGCAGUGACAAUUUGUUGUUGACAAAGGACAGCUGGACAUAUAAAGGGCCCCAUUACCUUCAGUAGCUUAGGGCCUCAUCCAACCUAAAUCCAGCCCUGGGCUGGCCCAAGGCAAGUCAUGUACAGUGGUACCUCUGGGUAUGUACUUAAUUUGUUCCAGAGGUCCGUUCUUAACCUGAAACUGUUCUUAACCUGAAGCACCACUUCAGCUAAUGGGGCCUCCUGCUGCCACCAUGCCACCGGAGCACGAUUUCUGUUCUCAUCCUGAAGCAAAGUUCUUAACCCGAGGUACUAUUUCUGGGUUAGCGGAGUCUGUAACCUGAAGCAUAUGUAACCCGAGGUACCACUGUAUUCCAAUUUCCACGGUGGAGAUGCAAAAUAGAGUUGGGGUUUUUUUCCCCUCAAGGACUCCACAAGAGUUGGCCUCCCUCCAGCUGAAGCUGCCCGUGACCUCGAGGGGAACAAAUUUUGGUAUGAAGUGACAAGUAUUAUGUUCCUGAGCCAGCAAUAUCAAAGCAGCCGAACGACAACAAAAAGACACGCACACCGAGGCCCGGACACAUAAUACAAAUGUGCAUCCUCCUUUCCGAUCCAGGGCAAAAUGAAAACAACCGCCCUUUUGUCUUCUAUCCUUGGCAGAGUGAAAUCAAAGGAGCCUGGAAGCGCUUUGUCUCCAUCUGACAUGUUGAGUGCAGACAUGUUUGGGAGGUGGCAGUUUUAUGAAAGGGUGAAUUAUUUUACCCAAACGAGCCGUCGGUCAGCUGAACUGUACACUUGAGGCCCUCGGUGCUGGGAGCACAAGCCUUAUAUUGAGUCUUUCAGGCCCUUGGGUCCAGGGAAGGGCUGUAGCUCAGUGCUAGAGCGCAUCACAUGGCACACAGAAGGUCCUGGGUUCAAAUCUCGGCAUCUCCAGGUAGGGCUGGGAAUGUCCUCUGCUUGAACCCCUCAGAGAUCUACAAUUUCCAGAGUGUUUUAUCAGUCAAUGCCUCUUCCCAGGGAAUUCUGGGAUUUGUAGCAAUUUAAGAAGAAUAGGGACGCAGGUGGCGCUGUGGGUUAAACCACAGAGCCUAGGACUUGCUGAGCAGAAGGUCAGCGGUUAGAAUCCCUGUGACAUGGUGAGCUCCCGUUGCCCGGUCCCUGCUCCUGCCAACCUAGCAGUUCGAAAGCAUGCCAGUGCAAGUAGACAAAUAGGUACCACUCCAGCAGGAAGGUAAACGGCGUUUCCGUGCGCUGCUCUGGUUUGCCAGAAGUGGCUUAGUUAUGCUGGCCACAUGACCCGGAAGCUGUACGCCGGCUCCCUCGGCCAAUAAAGCAAGAUGAGCACCGCAACCCCAGAGUCGGCCACGACUGGACCUAAUGGUCAGGGUCCCUUUACCUUUACCUAAGAAGAAUAGAGUUUUCCUAACAACUCUCAACACCCUUAAGAAAUUACAUUUCCCAGGGGAAUAGCUCUGACUGUUUAAAGUGGUGUGAUGGUGCUUUAAAUGUAUGGUGUGCCAUUUUGAAUAUCAUCAUUGUUUUCUAACAUAAAUCUCUCGCGUUUCUUCCACCAUGUACUCGUUGCAGCCCACAUGCUCUUAGAGUUAAUCAAUAAAUAGAUCUGAACAAGACUGGUGAAAAUUCAAGGAACUUCGGAAUAGUAAACAGAAGACAAUUAACUACAAUUAACUGUAGUCUUUCUGCCAUUUUUAUGAGAAAGUAUGGCAUCUUAAAAAGCAGAGACAUCACCUUGCCGACAAAGGUCCGUAUGGUUAAAGCUAUGGUUUUCCAGUAGUGGUGUAUGGAAGUGAGAGAUGGACCAUAAAGAAGGCUGAUCGUAGAAGAAUUGAUGGAAGGCACAAGGAGAAGGGGACGACAGAGGACGAGAUGGUUGGAUAGUGUUCUCGAAGCUACCAGCAUGAGUUUGACCAAACUGCGGGAGGCAGUGGAAGACAGGAGUGCCUGGCGUGCUCUGGCCCAUGGGGUCACGGAGAGUCAGACACGACUAAGCGACUAAACAACAACAAUGGCUUCACCCGAAAUGACCAACAUUUUGAAGCUCAGAAUAGCAAUACAGUGGUACCUCAGGUUAAGUACUUAAUUCGGAGCACGAUUUCUGUUCUCAUCCUGAGGCAAAGUUCUUAACCUGAGGUAUUAUUUCUGGGUUAGCGGAGUCUGUAAGCUGAAGCGUAUGUAACCUGAAGCGUAUGUAACCCAAGGUACCACUGUAUUAACUUUAUCAUAAGUUCACUUCUUUUAAUAGGUAUUUGUUACUCCACUUCUGUACUUAAUAUUAUUUUAAAUGGGAUUUGGACAAGGAUUUAUCCACAGGCUAUUUUUUAAUAACAUUAUGUUAUUCUAUUUCCCAGGAGUUGCAUUCUCUUAAUCUCCAAAUGAAAUAAUUUUUAAAGAUAAUGAUAAAGGCGACCAAAAAGGGGAAGGUCUGUGCCUUCCUUCUCGUCGCACUUAACAUACCAAAAAAAAAAAUGAAGAGUGUGUCGCUCCCAUGGCAACCAUUUGCUUGUUCCCAAUCUCAGCGUGUGCCUCUUAUUUGGCAACCGCGCCUCACACUCCUCCUAAAGAACUAAGCCCUUGGCACUGCCAACAGAUGUCAAAGGCUUUGGAUUGGGCUCCCUCGCUCUGCGUUACACCAGCGACCCUGUUUGCCCUCCAGAAAGGUCCACUGAAGGCUCAAAAGGAAGAUGGCACUCUCUCCAGAGUUGCCUCGGUGUCAGCAUGGCACUGCCAGUUUCCCUGGGUGCUGGGUGGGCACGCUUGGCACACAACUCUAGAGCUAGCAAUGACCAGACGUAAGCCACAUUCACACCGUACGUUGGAUUUCCCCCAAAAGAAUUCUGGGAGCUGUAGUUUGUUAGGGGUGCUGAGAGUUGUCAGGAGACCCCUGUGUUUCCCUCACAGAGCUACAAUUCCAGAGCACACUCGGAAGAGGGGUUGAUUGUUAAACCAUAAGGGUUUGGGGAUGGGUUAGUCUACGCCAGUGAUGGCCAAAAUUGGCCCUCCAGCUGUUUUGGGACUACAACUCCCAUCAUCUAACAGGAACAGUGGUCAGGGAUGAUGGGAAUUGUAGUCCCAAAAUAGCUGGAGGGCCGAGUUUGGCCAUCGCUAGUCUACGAUUUCUCCAUCUCUUUUUCUUUCUUCGCCUGAACUGCAACGGAAAUCAUCCUUCUUUCUCAACGCCAGAAUUUCACAACUCUGCCAAGUCUGUUGCUCAAGCCCGCUUCAUUUGGGGUCAAGCAAGUUCUCUUUUCUCAGGAUUCGUGGUUCCUCUUUCAUUCGAGCAUCAUCUAUGCAAAUGGCUAUCUGAAUUCUCCAAGGUCCAACCCUCAGGUAACCAAAACGGCAGUGCCCCUCCACGGGAGGAAGGUUUCGGCAGGCUUGGGGAACAAGAGCCCAAGGUUUCUAGAAGCACAAAAACUAUUUUUCCGGGGGUGGGAGUGCAACUAAGCAGGAAAGCGACUCCUGAACAGCCCAAUGGCUGCAGCGCAGGUUCAGUUGGCGUGGAAUUGUGACUGACGUUUGGAGUGGUGGAGGCAACGGAAUGGAGUAUCCUGAAAAAGGGUGGUGACUGACCAGUGCAAUAGCAGGUCAGGAAAUGCAACAGCUGUAUACUGUCUGUACUUUGUUAUAUAAUAAAAAAAAAGUUUGUGAGCAGCCUGGAGGACUUCAUUGAUCGACAAAAGAGAAAUGUCAUAAAUAAAAAUAAUUAGUGGCAUGGAGGUUUUUUAAAAAAAUAGAAAAGGGUGGUGAUCUAUAGCCCCCCCCCCCAUUGGUCUUACUAUUACAUUUGUAAGUUGCUCUGGGUCACUUUUGUGAGUAAAGCAAUUAAUAAAUAUUAUUGAUAAUAAGCAGUUGGCUCCUUACCUCUCUCGCCAUGACCUAGCCACUGUGAUCCACGCGACAGUCACCUCCAGACUGGAUUAUUGUAACUCGCUCUAUGUGGGGCUGCCCUUGAGACUAACCCAGAAACUCCAGCGGGUGCAGAAUGCUGUGGUGAGACUCCUUACGGGGUCCUCACUGCGAGAUCACAUUCACCCGUGCUAUACCAGCUGCACUGGCUCCCGGUGGAGUACAGGAUCAGGUUCAAGGUGCUGGUUUUAACCUUUAAAGCCCUAUACGGCCUAGGACCCUCGUACCUACAGGACUGCCUCUCCUGGUAUGUCCCACAGAGGAACUUACGGUCUUCAAACCAAAAUAUCCUGAAGGUCCCAGGCCACAGAGAGGUUAGGCUGGCCUCAACCAGAGCCAGGGCUUUUUCGGCAGUGGCUCCGAUCUGGUGGAACGCUCUGUCACAAGAGAUUAGGGCCCUGCGGGACUUGACAUCUUUCCGCAGGGCCUGCAAGACAGACCUGUUCCACCAGGCCUUUGGUCAGGGCACAACCUGACUCCCUCCUUUGGGAAUCUUCAUAGAACUUUGGCCCAGUGGUUGCCAUCAAUUUGAUUUGAAUUACUUUUAUAAUGAAAUUAUUUUAGAAUGUUGAACUAUUUUAUUGUUGUUAGCCGCCCUGAGCCCGGCUUCGGCUGGGAAGGGCGGGAUAUAAAUAAAAUUUAUUAUUAUUAUUAUUAUUAUUAUUAUUACUGGAGGCCUUUACAGUCUGUAAAACGAGGGCUGAAAAUGGACUCGAUUCCAAUACACAUAUAAUUAGUAGAAGAAGAAAGAGCUACCAGAUGGAACUAGUUUUAGGAAGCUCAUUUCCUAACAGCUAAGCAGCCUAGAAAUUCCAAAUCUUCAAUGUACGAAUAUUUAGCAGAGGCGGGACAUAAAAACAUCAUGGCUGGCAGCCAAUGAUAGCUUUAAACUCCGUGAAUCUGUCAAAUUCUGUUUAGAAGAGCUCUGGUGGAAUAGGCCAAUGGCGUCUCUAGUCCAGCACCCUGUUCUUACAGUGGCCAACCAGAUGAGGAGCCCACAAGCAGGACUUGGACGCAGCAGAUGUCCUCUUGCCUCUCCCAGCAACUGUUAAUCAGGGGUCUACUGCCUCCGAUAGGGGAGUUGGAACAUCGCCGCCCUUGUGGCUGCUAGCUGUUAGUAACCUUCUCCUCCAGGAAUUUGUUUCCCCCUUGUUUUGGAAGCCAUCCAAGAUGGCGGCCAUAGCAACAUACCGUGGAUGCGAAUUCCAUCGUUUAACUCUGCACUGUGUGAAAAGGUCUGCCCUUCUGUCUGUCCCCAGUCUUCCAACGUCCAGGUUCCUUGUAUGGCUCCAAGUUCCAGUGAUUUGAGAGAGGCCUUUCCAGAAUUAUAGGGACAGAACUACCAAUUUUAUUUUAUUUUUUCUAUAUGCAUUUUUUUGUAUAUUAUAUAUAAUUGUAUAUAUAUACAGUGGUACCUUGGGUUACAUAUGCUUCAGGUUACAGACUCCACUAACCCAGAAAUAGUGCUUCAGGUUAAGAACUUUGCUUCAGGAUAAGAACAGAAAUCAUGCUCUGGCGGUGCGGCGGCAGCAGGAGGGCCCAAUAGCUAAAGUGGUCUUCAGGUUAAGAACAGUUUCAGGUUAAGAACGGACCUCCGCAACGAAUUAAGUACUUAACCCGAGGUACCACUGUAAUUGUAUAGAAAUUGUAUAUAUAUAUCAUUGUAUAGAAACUUAUUCAUGUAUGCAACUACAGCGGCAAGAAUGUUACUUGCCCAAAAAUGAAAAUAAGAAGAUGUCUGAGAUGUUUUUGGUUGGGAUGUGAGUGAGGAGAGGAAAAGAAUUUGGUUCAGUUCACAUUCCAAGGUGAACCUACCUAACAGACCGUUUCUGAAACAACACAAUCUGAAGCACAGCCGUCCUUCAAUGUUUGCUCUUCCCUGGAUUUGCAGUGCAGUUCUCAACCCAAGUAACGGGUGCAACAAUGCAUGGACUGGGGUAAAUUGUGCCUAAAAAGGCAUAUAUUCAUGACAAUAACAUACAAAAACGUGCUGUGCUAGGGGGAAUUGCGUGCAAACAGGAGAUUAUUGGGAGAAAUUCGCCUAAAAAUGCUGGUUAAUUUUCAUGAGGACCUUUUUUUAAAAAAAAAAUGCAGACUGAUGUGGAAAUGUGGAGAACUCAGCUGUAGAUCACAGACAUCGUGCCUCCAGCCCAGCCCAUGCAGACAGAGGUUAUUAUGUGCAAGCAAUAAAUAAAUCUGCAUUUAGGCAAGGAGCCUAAAUACAUGCCUUGCAGCAAAGUAUUUCAGAGGAGGCCUGCGACAUACCCUCCAACAUUUCCCUGAUGAAAAUAGGGGCAUCCUAUUUAAUAAUAAUUAAUUAAUAAUUAACGGGUGGCACUGUGGGUUAAACCACAGAGCCUAGGGCUUGCCGAUCAGAAGGUUGGCGGUUCGAAUCCCCGCGACGGGGUGAGCUCCUGUUGCUCGGUUCCUGCUCCUGCCCACCUAGCAGUUCGAAAGCACAUCAAAGUGCAAGUAGAUAAAUAGGUACCACUCUGGCGGGAAGGUAAACGGCAUUUCCGCGCGCUGCUCUGGUUCGCCAGCAGCGGCUUAGUCAUGCUGGCCACACGACCCGGAAGCUGUACGCCGGCUCCCUCGGCCAAUAAAGCGAGAUGAGCACCACAAUCCCAGAGUUGGCCAUGACUGGACCUAAUGGUCAGGGGUCCCUUUACCUUUACCCUUAAGGAAAAAACAGGACAUUCCAAGAACAAAUCAGAAUACUGUUGUGGGCAGAAGAAUGCAAUGGAAUUUGCAGCCCCCCACUCUGCAAUGUUUUGUUGUGAGUCUCACUUGUAAGAAUGCAAGAGCAGCCCCACCGGAUCAGGCCAACGACCCAUCUAGUCCAGCAUCCUGUUCUCACAGUGGCCAGUUAGAUGCUUAUGGGAUGCCUGAAAUCAGGACCUGGCUGCUACAGCAACUCUUCCCACGUUGCUGGGAAUUGCGAGGCAUACUGCCUCCGACAGUGCACAGCUACGUUAUCCCGUUUCUGUGGGGCAACUGGGGGAGCGGGCUGUUGCCUCCAUGCUCUGCUUGCCAGUUUCCCAGAAGCAUCUGGCUUUCCACUGUGGGAAACAGGAUGCGGGACUUAAUGGCAAUUUGGCGUGAUCCAGCCAGGCUCGUCUAAUAUUCAAAAUUCCUAAUGCAAGCUGAGUUGCAUGAGAAAGCGAGCUCACCACAGCCUCAAGAGCCCCUCAAGAGUCAGCACGUGAAUCAAUCUUUUCACAUCGAGAGAGUGUGGGUGUGAGGACGCACCGGUUUAACACAUUUAUAUCCUGUCGUUCUCCCGUCACAAGUGGACUCUGCAACAAAAUGUUGCAGCAUGACAAAAUAACAAAAAUAAAAACAAGCAACAGCAAACACAACAGCAAACAAACAAACAAAACUGUAAAUAAAAACAAUAUCAAAUCCAUAAAAUGGGAUUCUCCGAAUCCCAUGACUUUCCUCCCCUGGUUCCUUAAUUCUCUUUUUCAACUGCAUAUCAUUUCUACUCCAAAUUAUUUUUCUCCCUCACAUUUCUUACAUUAUUUCUAAAAUUACAAGUGUUCUUAAAAUCCUGCCAGUGUAUUAACCUGUUUACAAUACUUUUGUAAGUACAUAACAAACAUUUCCCAUUCUUUUUUAAAUUUCUUGUCCUCUUCGUUUCUGAGCUUUCCAUUUAAUUUAGUCCAUUUAAAAAUAAAAAUAAAAUGUUGCAGCAUGAAGUGCUGCAGUUCUGCAUUCUAGGCCCUUCAUUCUUUUCCCAUACCUCCAUUUUAAACUUUUACUUCCUCCUCCUGCUUACGCCCCAUGAAAUCCGCGCUUCCAUCUCCAUUCCCCCAACAAACACCUCUCGAGGCCCCCAAAUACUGGCGUCAAGAGCAUGAACAAAAUCUGCAUGCAACUCUGGAAACUCAGAAGUCAAAUUUUCUUUAGGUGCGGGAAAUUGUCAACAGAGCAGAAGGGAAACAUAAGCGCUUGCACACUUUCCAAAGAUCUCAUGUUGCGCAACUUAUUUUACCCGUUUUUGCCAAGGAAGAAAAAGAGACCUUUCAGAACGUCGCUUGGUCUGCCUGCUAUAAUUAUUACUUUAAUCUGGUUCAGCAAGGCCAGUGAAGUUCAUAGCUCCUGGGUUCGGAAUACAAAUCUGUCCAGCUUGAAACACCCGAUUACAUCCAGUGUGAACAGAGUGCCAUUUUCCUGAAACAGUUCUCCAGUGUCGUGGACUGGCUGGACACAGAGGGAUGGUGGAGGCACUAGCUGGGCCACCUCCCAAGGGAUGAAGGCUCAGAGCCUAGGGGUUGGUGGUGCGACAAGGAUGAGUGGUCAGAGGGAGAAGAGGGAAGGAGCAGACUGGGAGGAAGAGGUAUCAGAAGUGGUAACAAGAUUUAGUGAGCAAGAAGCAGCUGUGGUAGAGAGACCUCCAGAAUCAGAGGCAGAAGUGGAAGCAGAAGAAAAAGAGGGAGGCCAAGAAACAGAGAGGAGUCAGGCUGGUGAAGAAGCCAGGGGGUCUCCCCCUCCUGCUGCGAUCAGCUCCCUUUCCACCAGUCUGCCAGAACCAGAAGAGGUAUGAAGAAGGAGGAGCAGAGGCAGGCACUCUGGCAAAGUCUCAGAUUGCUUGGGAAGGACCCAGGAGAUGAGGAAGCUUAGGCAGCUGUGGGAAGGUGUGGGCCUUCAUGUCAUGAAAUUCUACUUAGUAUUGAUCCAGAGUAGAUUCCAAUGUAUAUUUAGCAGAGUAACAACUUAAACAAGUUGCAGGAUUCCCAUGUAUUUCAUCCAGCAGAACUUUACCGCUACUGAAGGCAAAUGAGCGUAAUGGUCACAAGUCCAAUACAUUCAGGAUUGGCACUGCCCAUAAGAAAUCCAGUUGCAGCAGACUUAACUUAAACUUACAAUAACUUACAAUAAGUAUAAACCUUAACACUAAGCAUAUUGUGUACAGAACACCACACCAGAAGGCAAAGAGAUAGAAAGAGAACGUGAAACCCAGGCUCCUCCUGGUCCUACUUUUAUAGGCAGCAUGACCUUGAUUAAAAGAGAUAACAGAACCAGUUUAAAUCAGCUGCACUUGGCUUCUCUGAAGGAAUAACCAAAAAAUCUUGAACCUUCUGAUUGCUUCUUUCACACAGAGAAGCUUCCAGAAACUUCCAGAACCCUCUUGAAAUCAGAAUAGGAAAGAUCUCUACACAUCAGAUCAAUACUUUCUGCACUAAGAAAUGCAAACUGACACUUCAGUCCACACAACUGCCUCAUGGGCGCAAGAUCUUCCGGGGAAAGUUGCUCUGCUCAUUCGGCC
rnacentral:lncRNA from 1 species